CGUCUUCGUGGAUUUUGUUGUGAUUUUGUGACCAGUCCAACAUCUAACCGCGAUACAGCAAUACAGCGGAGAAGUGCUGUCCCUCUAUUUUCCGUUACAACAAAAACUAAGCAUGAGCAACAACAUAUAACAAACUAAAAACAAUGCAAAAAUUUAAAUUAUUGUGUGUUUGUUAAAUAAAUUUUAAUUAAAAUACUUCGGAGAAAUGGGAAAUAAAAAUGUGAAUAAACCAAAUUUUUCGUUUCCGUUAAUAAGACAAUAAACCGAACAACAACAACAAAAACCAACAUAUAAACAAAAUAAAAAAGAUAACUUAAAAUAGGCUUGUAAACUUGUGUGGUACUACGGCAUCCCUCAAAGUGAUAUUCAUCGGCCAAACUAAUUGAGAAAAUACCAAGGGUUGCCAAUUAGAAUUUUAAUGUCUUUUGCUUUGGAAAAAAGUGACCAACUGAAUUAUGCAUGAAAUUCGAAAAUAUUUAAUUAAUUUGUGAGAAAUCUGAUGAAAACAACACAAUAUUUUCGUCCCAUAUGAAUAUGCUAAAUAAAUAGAGUGUGCUGUUUCCAAUUACCACAUAAAUUGUUGCCAAUUUGCUUAUGAAAAAAAUUAUUUAAAAUUUAUGUGUUUAUCAAAGUGAUUGUGUGUAAAAUUAACUACUUUGUUUUUUUUUCAAUAAAAAAUGUGAGCAGCUUUACGAUCAUCUUUACAACAAAGUUUAGUGGAAAUAAUAAUUAGAAAAAAGGUAAGUUUAUUGAAACGAAAUUAUAUUCAUAACACAUAAUCUCAAACAGCAGUCCAGACUCUUCCACAUAAGGUUGGUUGGCCGACAUGUUGGUUAGCAGAGGGCAGAAAUUGGUGCAAAAAUAUACAGCAAAAGAAAAGAAAAAAUAAAUCAGAAAUUUCAAUUGACUCGAUAAUCACCCUCAAUGUCGCACGUGAAUGAUUGAACAAUUAAUCAUUGAAAUUCAAAGAAAAAACGCUAAAAAAACAGCAGAUUAUCUCACACAAUUGGGGUGAUAACGAACGAAAACAUUAUGAAUGGAUGGUCAAUUUAUAUGCAAUGUCAAAAAUGCGAGGAAGGUUUGAACUCAAGAAAAAAAAAGUAAAAUUUUAGUAAAUAAUUUUACUGCUGACAUAACUAAUUGACAUUUGGAUAGGUGUAACAACAAAAACGUUUUUAUGCACCAAAUAAAUUUUUUAGUUCCAUGCAGCUUA